rnacentral:rRNA from 1 species
AUUGAACGCUGGCGGCAUGCCUUACACAUGCAAGUCGAACGGUAACGGGCCUUCGGGUGCCGACGAGUGGCGGACGGGUGAGUAAUGCAUCGGAACGUGCCCAGUCGUGGGGGAUAACUGCUCGAAAGAGCAGCUAAUACCGCAUACGAUCUAUGGAUGAAAGCGGGGGACCGUAAGGCCUCGCGCGAUUGGAGCGGCCGAUGUCAGAUUAGGUAGUUGGUGGGGUAAAGGCUCACCAAGCCAACGAUCUGUAGCUGGUCUGAGAGGACGACCAGCCACACUGGGACUGAGACACGGCCCAGACUCCUACGGGAGGCAGCAGUGGGGAAUUUUGGACAAUGGGGGCAACCCUGAUCCAGCAAUGCCGCGUGCAGGAAGAAGGCCUUCGGGUUGUAAACUGCUUUUGUACGGAACGAAACGGUCUGGGUUAAUACCCUGGGCUAAUGACGGUACCGUAAGAAUAAGCACCGGCUAACUACGUGCCAGCCGCCGCUGUAACAC